UCCUCCCUCUGGCGGCGUGCUUAACACAUGCAAGUCGAACGCGCCUGUCCUCUGGGUUUCUGGGGGGUGGGUGAGUGGCGAACGGGUGAGUAACACGUGAGUAACCUGCCCCCUUCUUCGGGAUAACGGUCUGAAAGGGCUGCUAAUACCGGGUAUUCACUGGUCUCCGCAUGGGGUCUGGUGGAAAGGUUUUUUUCUGGUGGGGGAUGGGCUCGCGGCCUAUCAGCUUGUUGGUGGGGUGAUGGCCCACCAAGGCUUUGACGGGUAGCCGGCCUGAGAGGGUGACCGGUCACAUUGGGACUGAGAUACGGCCCAGACUCCUACGGGAGGCAGCAGUGGGGAAUAUUGCACAAUGGGAGCAAGCCUGAUGCAGCGACGCCGCGGGAGGGAUGGAGGCCUUCGGGUUGUGAACCUCUUUCGCCCGUGGUCAAGCCGCGACGUGGGUCGUGGUGAGGGUAGUGGGUAAAGAAGCGCCGGCUAACUACGUG
rnacentral:rRNA from 1 species